GGUGGCUCAGUGGUAGAGCGCUUGCCUAGCAUGCAGGAGGCCCUGGGUUCGAUUCCUCAGCACCA
rnacentral:tRNA from 1 species